UCAGCGACUGGGGUGAAGUCGUAACAAGGUAACCGUAGGAGAACCUGCGGUUGGAUCACCUCCUUU
rnacentral:rRNA from 1 species